CCAGCAGCCGCGGUAAUUCCAGCUCCAAUAGCGUAUAUUAAACUUGUUGCAGUUAAAAAGCUCGUAGUUGAAUUUCUGUUGCAUCGUUGAUUAUCUUUAACAGGUUUAUCAUCGUUGUGACUUUUUCUGGUUAUAUUGCUUUAGUGGUAUUUCCAGAUUGUUACUUUGAGAAAAUUAGAGUGCUUCAAGCAGGCUUUUGCCUUGAAUACUUUAGCAUGGAAUAACUAAGUAGGACUUUGGUUCUAUUUUGUUGGUUUAAGAGCCAAAGUAAUGAUUAAUAGGAACAGUUGGGGGCAUUCGUA
rnacentral:rRNA from 1 species